AACUAUAUUGGCUGUUCCCAGAUGCUCAUCACUGGGGAGGAGAAUCCUAAACUUGGAGAAAGUUUAUGAAUUUUAAUUUCCACUAGCAAAAUGAUUAUUUAAAGGCAAGGCCAGAAAGGACAGAAGGCAGAGAGGGCAGCAUGACCUACUGUGGGAAUAUGCAGCACUCAGGACACAAUGAUCUACUUCCCUGUAUCUCCUUAAGCAUCCAGCAGAGACCACCAUAACUGAUCAAGCUUAAUUAAAAUGUAAGUACCCUGGACCAAGGGGAUCAGCACAGAAACUGAAUAAACACCUCCAAGAUGAAUCCUACAUAGCUGGUGCUGCUGCUGGAAGAGUUUUUUGGGAAGAGUUCCGGAGUGGAACACAGAAAUGGUGAUGGAUACAGCUGGAGCCCACUAAAGGCAGCAAUGGAACAGUGUUGGACAGGAGAGGGGGAUUUUGCUAGCCCUCAGCUUAACCAUGACCUUCAGGGCAUGGAGAAUUCCACAGAAGAAAAGUUUGGAUGAGCAGUACCAGCAGAUCACCGUCCCAAUGUUCCUUCAACGUUCAUCACAACUGUUUGUUCAUUCACAUGGGUCCUGUACUGGCCUCCAUGGAACUGCUCUGUGUGUUUGUGUACAUAUUGCUUCAGUCUCCGCAAUCAAAUAGAAGAAACUUCUAGAUAUUUAUGACAGGCUUGGCUAAAAUCCGGACUUUGCAGAAAUCCACCGAAGAGAGAAGAUGUGAAUGGUAAUUGUGAAGAAGCACGGCUACCAAGAGCAGUCUACUUAGACUGCCUUAAAACAACCUGAGGUUUUGGCACUGGUGAAUACAGUCUCCUCCCUCAGCUGCUUGUGUCACCUGCUAUUGUUUGAAUUAAUGAAUGAUACCACAAGUGACCUUAGAAAUGGCAGAAAUAGUAGCAAAACAGUCCUGCUCUGCCCAUUGCUCCUGACAAGAAUGGUCAUGCUGAGGCAGGCAGAAAUUCUUCCUGAGUUAGUUGCUGUCUCUCUGAGGCGGUCUGGCAGUGGGUAUUCAGGAAAACAGUAUGAGACCUGGGAAAACACAGGGAGAUGCUUGUCCUGGAACACCCUCUCAUCUGGCUGAAGCUUAGGCAAUGCAGGUUUGAAACACUACCUGUGCCCUUGUAUCGAACUACCUUGAGGGAUCUUUUUUUCUAAGACUGUCUACAGGUGGUUUUUGAACACAUUUAUGUUUUUGGUAUCCACUCUGUCACUCCAGCAAGGCAUUCUAUAGCACACGUAGACAUUGGGCAUAUGGAAAAGUAUUUCUUGAUUGUUUUAAACUUCGGUUUCAAAGAAGUGUGUGUCAGACUGAAAGUCAAGCAGCGGUGGGAAAGUUUUACUUAGCUUAAGUGAUAUCUGCAUUAGUUUAGAUAAAAUUAUUUAAUCCCCUGCAUUAAAUUAAAAAGAAAAAAAACCCCAGAAACAGGUCAAUGAACUGGCAACAGUUCAUUGCUGUUUAAAUGCAGGGUUUAUUUGAGAAAGAAUGCCUGCACUUCUUAUGUACUUAAAUCUCAAGUUUUUUGAGAUUUUUGAGUCUUUUUGCCCUGAGUUUGCACAACACCUGCUGCAUUAAAACCUUGAUCCUGGACUCAGGCUCCAAGACACUAUGACUCUAAAAUAGUAAUAGUGGAUUGUUUGAAUGGUAAAUAAAAUGAAAAUUAAAAAAUGAUGUGGUGGCUGGUCUCUGAGCUGGUGUGUAAAGCUGGUAUUGAAGAAGAGUGGGGCAGGGAACCCUCAGUUUAGCACGUUGCUUGAAAUUCCAGUAUCCAGCUGGGAAAUCCAGGUUGCUUUUCUCUUUCUCAAACUCUGCCUCACAUGAGUAUGGAGUGAAAGAAGGACUGGAGUUUGUUUGUAAGCCACUGUUAUUUGUAAACUCUCCUCCCUUCUUGACUGUGUAGAUUUGAUACAUCUGAAACUUUUGGGGUUUCCAUCACAUUUAAAUCCUCCUUCCACAAUAAAUCAUUCUGUAUUUCUGCAUAUAAUACAGUGGGAUCACAAUAAGAGUAUUGCCCCCAGUAAGAACAGUAUAGGUUGCUUAUUACCAAGAUACUGCUAUGAAGACAUAGUGCUUAGUUACGUAGCAGAAAGCAACAACAUAAAAAACCCCAAACACUAAAUCAUUGAAUGGUGAAGGACAUUCGUAACAUUUCUCCUACUUGCAUCUUGUCAUGCUCAGCUGAAGAUGUCACGUUCCCACCCUCUGUGACCCUGGGAUAGCCAGGAAAAUCCCCAGUGAGGUCUAAGGUGCUGAUACCUGAAAUUAUAGGAGCUCUGUGAACUGUUUCACCCCACUGACCACCCUGUCUGCUCUCCAAGGAAACCCCAGUGUUAAAACUACUGGUAACAAUCUGUUCCAUGCCAUAACUUGGUAUUUGCUGCUUCUGCUGUUCACUGAUACCUCCUUGUUACCUUAUCUCUAUUGUCUUAUCUCACUGCUCCAUGUCAGCUGUGACAGAGGGACAAAGGAAACUUUUAGUGAGGUUUUUACGGUUGUGAUGGGGAUGGGCACCACUAUGCCUUCCACCAGAUCCCCCUGGACACAUUUGCUUUCUGAGGAGAGGAGAAGAGGCCCUGAACACAUUUGUGUGGAUAUAACCAAAGACACCAGACAGAAGAUAAAACAGCUUGAACUGAUGUAAGAAAUUAAUGUGGCAGAUAGUGCUGUCAGAAAAAUUUCCUCCCACUGGGUUUGUGAAAGGCAAAUAUAAAAGUUGCUGUUUGUGUCUCUGGGGCGACACUGUCUUGUGCAAGAAGCUCCUCCUUGGCAAUGGCAUUUAUUAGGGCAAUAACUCAGCAUUGCAGGGGACGCACAUGCCUUUUUGAUUUUACUGCUGUGCUCUUAGAAGAGUUCUAGCUGACCAUUUCCCCCGACUUUUAAAUCCCUCUACUCUUCUGCUUUCCUUUCUGAGAAUAUCUGUCUGUUGUACAUAUCCUGACUAGCUCAUGUGGGGUGAAGGGAGACUGAAUCAGUGUGACACAGAGAUUUCGGGCAGCCUCAGCCCAAGGACAAAAUUCCCUUGGAGCAUUAUGAGGGGUGUCAAUGGCUUCAGGGACAGGAAAGAUGAGAAGGAGCUGGCUGAAUAGUGUUUGGCAUCAGAGCCAUCUUUAGGAGCUGUUGCUGAGUCCCAGGAUGACCUAGAGACUGAUCUCUGACAGUUCUUGCCUUUUCUACUUUACCAUAAAUACCUAUAUAUUUGGGAUAAACUAUGCCAUGCAGAUACCAGGUUAGCUUGGGUUAGAUGACAGGGGUUACGAUGUUAUUAUUUACAUUACAAUGUCUAGAGAGUCGAGAGUUGACUCUGCCUUGCACAGCCACCACAGUAAUGUGCUGUGGUGUGCCCUUAACGAGGGUCAGAGGAGCAGGUCAGGGGAGCAGGGACAGACCAUCUGCAGUUUGCAGUACCAGGUGCUCAGCAUCUCUCAAAAUCAGACCGUUUGUUUGCAACCUUUAAUUAAAACACUCUUAGUUCACUUAAAGGCUGAUUAUGAAGCGAAAAUGAAGAUUGCUGCUUAGGAAAACAGAUGAUCAUUUUUGCUUAAUGAAAUGUGUGUAUCUCAUUGCUAUCUAUCUAGAGAGGGAAAAACCUGAAGAUGUUGUUCCCUGUAAAUAAAAUUUACACUCCAUGAAUUCAAACCUGCUCUCAUCACAGGGACCAUAGCAUUCAGAUCAAGGGUGCCCUCCAGCACAUUUAGCAGGGGAUAUGGGGCUGGGUGUGGUGCGUUACCCUUCUUGAAAGAAAACUGGAGAAGCUAAGGCUGCCUCUUGGAAAAAAGGAAAUGCCACAACUAUUAUGUCAAAGGGUGGGAAAGGAGAUGCCCUUGGCAACUGAAGAAAAAGACUGGAGUUUAAAAAAGCAUGAAUGUUGCCUCAAGAUGGACAGGAAAAGCAGAAUGCAGUGGGAAUUGUCUCAGAAGAAAAACAUGAGUCUUACAGAAAAAUUCAUAAGAGUUUUCAGAAUGUGGAAACAGUGGCUAUGACACACAGCUGAGAGGGAGGACAAGGAUGCUUAUAUCCUAAUUUAUUAUGUUAGCAAGAAGUUUAUUAUCUCUUUCUUAGAUUUAGUAACUUCCAUUCCAGUUGUCCACUGGGUCUUUGAUGGCUUUCUUCAUGCCACCAUAUACUGUUGUGUAUAUCCAUGUACUGGAAAGAACUACAGCAGCUGACAAAAUCCCUGUGCUUUCCUCCUUCCUUCAAAGGUGAGGAUAUCCUCCAUAUUUUAUAUAUUUCUGAAGUUCAGAUUCUAUGAAAUACAAUUAUUUAUCCAAAGUGAUAACUGCUUAAGAGGCAGGUGGAUAUGACAACCCUGAGUUGACAUGGGGGUGUUUGGUCAAAGAGUGGACUCGAUGACUGUGGAGGUCUUCUCCAACCUUAAUGAUUCUAUGAUUUUAUGAAAUCUAUUUUUAAUUAUAACAAAGAAUAUAGAGAAACUUUAGAUAAGAGCCACUAGAAAUCCUGAGCAUUUUCACUGCUCAAUUACUGGGUAACUACAUUUAACAGAUGACUUUUUUAGACAGAUUGUUGUCUCUGGGAAUGCAAGUUUUUGUCUUCUGAAAAUUGUAUUUUCCACUUGGCUGGGUGCUGCUGUUCCGUCAGCUGCUGUGAUCAUGUUUGCACACAUGCGCACAUACACGCACAAACACACAGAGCCUGGUAUCAGGGCAAUAUCCAACUGGGAAAGGAGGAGUUUAACUAGCAAAAGGGAAAAUUGCUCAUUACAGAGCAAAAUGGUGCACAGUAUGCUGAUAGCUACAGGUAGUAGUGCCCUUGCAGCACACCAUUAAAUCCAUUAAAAUUUUAUGGUUUGAAGAAGAGGUAAACCAUGUCCCAUAACACAUUCUGAUGUUACAACACUCCUUCCGUUUGGAUAGUUGAGGACCAUUUUGUUCAGACUCUUGUCUAGAAAACCCAGAGCUUCGUUCCCUCCAAUAAGCUACCAGAAUAAUUUGAUAAGAAGCCGUCUGGUCUCUGCCCAAGGGUAUUGACCAUUGACUGGGCUGAUUUUGUGUUCUGAUUCAGGUUUGUUGAUGAUUUACUGAAGUCUGAGAGGCUCAGUCGUUUUCACUGAGAAUGAGAGUCUUUGUCAUAUUCAAGGUAGUUUUAAAACUAAUAACUUGCUGAAGGGAAUAACUGCCUCCACCUGAUGUAAAAAAAGCAGGUCUAACAGUACAAAUGCUGAGAGUACUUAGGUCUGUUUUCUCCAGGAAAGAAAAAGUCAUCUAUAUCAGUCAUGAGGAAUGAUAAAGGAGGUUUCUACAUGACCUUAUUCAAAAUGAACUUAGGAUCUAUGCUGGAGAAGGAUCAGAAAAAGACAGCCAAACAGCAGAGGACCAAUAAAGAAAGUCUUCCAAAGUGGCUAAAUGGUGUGCAUGCAUUUAUCUCAGUGCUGUCAAGUGUAGCAUCCCUUGCUCUAACUUUGUUUUACACUUUUCAUGGACAUUUGUCAUGAUUUUGGCUGAAUGAGACUGACAUGACUUUUUGCACAGCUAGAUCAGUAUUUGCCACUAUUUGCUUCAACCAAGUUCUGACUGCCACAAAGACUGCAAGACUUCUUAUUUAAAAUAAUCCUUCUUCCCUUUUCUUAUCACUUUUAAUUCAAUGUUUUGGGCUUGCAUGACAAGGUUUUGGUUGUGGGGGUCUGCAGGGGUGGCUUCUGUGACAAGCUGCCAGAAGCUGCCUCCGUGUCCAGCAGAACCAAUGCCAGGCAACUCCAAGACAGACUCAUUGCUGGCCAAGGCCAAGCCUCUCAGGGAUGGUGGAAGAGCCUCUGGGCUCUUAAGGAGGAGGAAAACCUGCACAACAACGUGUUGUUGGAGUGAGGGGUGAGAAGGAAAGUAUCAUGGGUUAGUAAAGCGUAGUCCCGGAAGUGAUGUUCUU